AGAGUUUGAUCAUGGCUCAGGACGAACGCUGGCGGCGUGCUUAACACAUGCAAGUCGAGCGGAAAGGCCCCUUCGGGGGUACUCGAGCGGCGAACGGGUGAGUAACACGUGAGCAACCUGCCCCUGACUCUGGGAUAAGCCUGGGAAACUGGGUCUAAUACCGGAUACGACCCGCCAUCGCAUGGUGUGCGGGUGGAAAGAUUUCAUUGGUUGGGGAUGGGCUCGCGGCCUAUCAGCUUGUUGGUGGGGUGAUGGCCUACCAAGGCGACGACGGGUAACCGGCCUGAGAGGGCGACCGGUCACACUGGGACUGAGACACGGCCCAGACUCCUACGGGAGGCAGCAGUGGGGAAUAUUGCGCAAUGGGCGGAAGCCUGACGCAGCGACGCCGCGUGGGGGAUGACGGCCUUCGGGUUGUAAACCCCUUUCAGCAUCGACGAAGCUUCAUCCUUGCAGGGUGGGGUGACGGUAGGUGCAGAAGAAGCGCCGGCUAACUACGUGCCAGCAGCCGCGGUAAUACGUAGGGCGCGAGCGUUGUCCGGAAUUAUUGGGCGUAAAGAGCUCGUAGGCGGUCUGUCGCGUCUGUCGUGAAAGCCCACGGCUUAACUGUGGGUCUGCGGUGGAUACGGGCAGGCUAGAGGCAGGUAGGGGAGCAUGGAAUUCCCGGUGUAGCGGUGAAAUGCGCAGAUAUCGGGAGGAACACCGGUGGCGAAGGCGGUGCUCUGGGCCUGUUCUGACGCUGAGGAGCGAAAGCGUGGGGAGCGAACAGGAUUAGAUACCCUGGUAGUCCACGCCGUAAACGUUGGGCGCUAGGUGUGGGGUUCUUCCACGGAUUCCGCGCCGUAGCUAACGCAUUAAGCGCCCCGCCUGGGGAGUACGGCCGCAAGGCUAAAACUCAAAGGAAUUGACGG
rnacentral:rRNA from 1 species